AAGCAAUUCUCCUGCCUCAGCUUCCCAAGUAGCUGGGACUACGGGCCCCUGGAGUUUUGGGUCUAUAUAUACAGAGCUAAGUUCUACCUACUUUUAUCAUCUCCUUCUGCCCACUGCUGUCUCACAGAAUGGAAAGUUCUGGACGGGAGCCUAGAUUUUUAGUGAGACUGCAGUUAACUGUGAGUAAUUGAAACCUAAGAACAUGAAACUGCAGUUGGGACUACAUUUAACCAAGAAGGCAAAAAAUCUGUAUGCUGAAAGCUAUAAAGCAUUGAAGAAAGAAAAAGAAGAAGACACAAAUAAAUGGAAAAAUGUCCCAUACUCAUGGAUUGGAAGAAUUAAAAUGUUUAAUAUGUCCAUACUACUAAAACCAAUCUACAGAUUCUACACAAUCUCUAUCAAAAUUGCAAUGGCAUUUUUCACAGAAGUAGAAUAAGCAGUUCUAAAAUUCAAAUGGAAACACAAAAUAUCCCAAAUAGACAAAUCAAUCUUGAGAACACGGUUGGAGGCAUCACACUUCUGAUUUCAAAUUAUAUUCCAAAGCUAUAGUAAUCAAAACAUUUUAUGUCUGACAUAAAAACAAACACAUAGACCAAUGGAAUAGAAUGGAGAGCCCAGAAAUUAAACCUACGCAUGUAUGUUCAACUGAUCUUCAACAAGAGAACCAAGAAUACUCAGUGGGGAAAGGAUAGUCUUUUCAAUAAAUGUCUUAGGGAAAACUGGAUAUUCACAUGUAAAAAAAUGAAAUUGGACCCUCAUCUUAUACUAUAUAUAAAAAUUAACUCAAAAUGCAUUAAAAACUGAAAUGUAAGACCUGAAACCAUAACCCUUAUAAGAAACAUAGAGAGUGGCUAGGUGAGGUGGCUCAUACCUGUAAUCCCAGCACUUUGGGAGGCUGAGA